rnacentral:tRNA from 1 species
GCCGAUGUGGCGGAAUGGCAGACGCGACAGACUCAAAAUCUGUUGUCCAUCAGGGCGUGGGGGUUCAAGUCCCUUCAUCGGCA